rnacentral:rRNA from 1 species
ACAGCAGUAGCCGCGGGAAUACGAAGGGUGCGAGCGUUAAUCGGAAUUACUGGGCGUAAAGCGUGCGUAGGCGGUGAGUUAAGUCUGCUGUGAAAUCCCCGGGCUCAACCUGGGAAUGGCAGUGGAUACUGGCUCGCUAGAGUGUGUCAGAGGAUGGUGGAAUUCCCGGUGUAGCGGUGAAAUGCGUAGAGAUCGGGAGGAACAUCAGUGGCGAAGGCGGCCAUCUGGGACAACACUGACGCUGAGGCACAAAAGCGUGGGGAGCAAACAGGAUUAGAUACCCGCGUAGUCCCUGUCUCUUAUAA